rnacentral:ncRNA from 1 species
AGCUUUUAGGUUCUUUUGUAGUGAAGGAUGAAAAGGGAAAAAGGUGCAAGACCUUUGCUGAUCCCGCAACUGUAAGUACUGCAAGGUUCAAUGCUUCAAGCCACUGUGCGCCACGGCGCAUGGGAAGGCACAUUGAACGGUACAAGUCAGGAGACCUGCCUAAGAGA